rnacentral:rRNA from 1 species
AUGAAUAAAAUCUUUUAUGGUCAUGCACCCAUGAAGAAUGGUCUAUUCUUAUUAAAUCUUGAUAGUAGUGACACACAUAUUCAUAAUGUUGAAACCAAAAGAUGCAGAGUUGAUAAUGAUAGUGCAACUUAUUUGUGGCACUGCCGUUUAGGUCAUAUCGGUAUAAAGCGCAUGAAGAAACUCCAUACUGAUGGACUUUUGGAACCACUUGAUUAUGAAUCGCUUGGUACUUGCGACCCGUGCCUUAUGGGUAAGAUGACAAAAACACCGUUCUCCGUUACUAUGGAGAGAGCAACAGAUUUGUUGGAAAUCAUACAUACAGAUGUAUGUGGUCCGAUGAAUGUUGAUGCUCGUGGCGGAUAUCGUUAUUUUCUCAUCUUCACAGAUGACUUAAGCAGAUAUGGGUAUAUCUACUUAAUGAAACAUAAGUCUGAAACAUUUGAAAAGUUCAAAGAAUUUCAGAGUGAAGUUGAAAAUCAUCGUAACAAAAAAUAA